rnacentral:lncRNA from 1 species
CUCCAUUACAUUAGUAGAAGUUUUGCAACAAAAUAAAAACAUAUAAUCCCAUUUCAUCACACAUUUGAUUAUAUCACAUCAUAUUAUUGUACCAAACAUAAUACCAUUAGGGUAUGAUCUUGACAUGGCGUCAAAAGGUAAAGAGAAAUUCGGCCUCUACAUAAAAUGUUGAGCAGGAUGUUUUGCAACAAAAUAAAAACAUAUAAUCCCAUUUCAUCACAUUUGAUUAUAUCACAUCAUAUUAUUGUACCAAACAUAAUACCAUUAGGGUAUGAUCUUGACAUGGCGUCAAAAGGUAAAGAGAAAUUCGGCCUCUACAUAAAAUGUUGAGCAGGAUGUUUAGUGCAUGAUCACUCAACAAGCA